GGAGAUGUGGCAGAGCCCGGUUGAAUGCGCCUGAUUCGAAAUCAGGUAUACGGGAAACCGUAUCGGGGGUUCGAAUCCCUCCGUCUCCG
rnacentral:tRNA from 1 species